AAAAACCAGUAGCAACAACUGCAUCCAUGGGAAAGCAUGGAAGCAUAAAUAUCCAAGAAUCAUAUGCCCCCCACCAUCUAAAAAUGAUGCAUCAACUGGGGACAGUAUAUAAACUCUCUGACAGUGAAGACAUCUCAUAAAUCUCUAUCCUCUUAACUGAAUUAUAAAAUAGACUUAAAAUCAUGCUUUAAUUCAUUAAACCAUGCUCCAAAAUCACAAAGGUUGUGCUCUCAACAUCCCUGGAUCCAAAAAGGAAACGUAUUGUGCUAGCUCAGUUAACAGGCUUCACAAUCUACAACAGAAAUAAAACUCAUGCUAGUGUCACAUCUAUCUAUCCAUAUAUAUAAAGCAGGAAAGUAUUUCCAUGGUGCUGCCAUGUGUCACUUUUUUUAAAGAAUUUACCACAUGUCACCCUAUAUAAAUGAGUGUCUAACUUUCUUUUAAUGUAAUUAUUUAAUUCUUUUUUUUUAAUUAUUAAAAAGUUUACCACAUGUCACCCUCCAUAAACGAGUAUAUAACUCUCUUUUAUGCUAAUUAUUUAAUCAUUUUUUAUUUUUCUUUUAAUUAUCAUUAUUAUUGACAUUUC
rnacentral:misc_RNA from 1 species